AUGGCCACUGCUGACCAGCUGCUAGAGCUGAUUUUCUGCUGGAUCAACGAGAGAGAACGCUUUGCAGACAAUCUGAAGAAACUGGCUGAGGAGCUGGAGUCACUCAGAAAAAAAUGCAAUGUCGGUGAAUGUGUUGGAAGCUCAUUAAAGGUGAUCGGAGCUGCAAGUAUGAUCGGGGCCGGUCUUGCCACUGUGCUUACGGGUGGAGCAGCUACUCCACUUAUGGUGUUGGCAUCUACAUAUUCAGGCAUAGGUUCCAUUAUUUGUCAAACUACUAAACUCAUUGAGCACUUAUGCAGCAGCACCACCACGAAGAAGUUGCAGAAUAUAGAAAAGAAGAGCAACGAAAUUGCAAAAGAAAUACAGCAACUGUUCCAGAAACUGAAGUCAGAGAAGGAGGUAAAUCCCUUAGCAGAACCAGAUGAACUGGAGCAUCACAUCAUGGCUGAAUUUCUGAGAGCUAUCGCGAGACAGAGUGGUCUAAAUGUUCAAAUCAUCAAUGACUCAGUGCUCAAUGACAUGCUCAUUCACAUGCUUCAAGAGUUUCCUUUGAAAAUGAUCAGUGAUAUUGACAGCCACGGGGCUGGGGGAGGUCCUUCAUCAGCAGGGGCGGGACGACGAUCAGAGGGGCAAUUUGGAGAUUGGACGGGAAAUUACUGGCCUGGGGGGGGUUCUUCAUCAGCAGGGGCAGGACGACGAUCAGAGCGGCACUUUGAGGAUUGGAUGGGCAUUUCUGACAAAAAAAGCACCCCCCAAAGGAAACUAUUAACCAUCAUUUCAUGUGUCGGGGUUCUUUCACUUGUCUGGAUUGGUAUUCAACAUAAAGGGAUGCAUAAAGGGAAAGUUAAAUUGAGUAAUUCAGUACUUCAUCUUUUAAGAUCAACUAGAUUUCAAACAAGCAUGAUGGUUGUUGGAGGACUUGAUGUUGUAACACUUGGUGUAUAUAUGAUGUCAUAUGCACUUCCUGAAAUGAUGGAGAACUGGAGAGAAAUGAUCGAGGGAAAUCAUGUGACUGAGGCCAGCCAAUCAAUGAGAGACACAGCUUCCGGAAUCCAAGAGACCACUCGGACACUGAAGGAACAGAUCAAAAAAAUCAAGUAUGUUUUCAAUUAAAUAUAUAAAAAUUGAGUUACUACCCAGAUUCUCACCUCCUGUAGGUGUAAACAACGUCUGUAAAAAGUUUACACUUCUUCUCUGAGACAGCAGCAGUUUGAUUCAUGUCAGAUAAAAUUUAAUAAUUUUUUUUUUUUUUUUUUUUUUUUUUUUUUUUUUUUAUGGUCAAAGUAUCAGAACAUCUAAAGUGUACAGCCAACUCUACUGUCCAUUUGUAUAAUCAGUUCAUUUCUUACAGUCUGGAGUUGGUUCAUUGGUACCUCAUUGACAAGGGACUUCCUUGCAUCUUGUGUGAGAUGGAUAGCAAUUCCACUUCUUAACAGAGCUUCGCAGUGUGGACCAUUGAAACUGUAUUAGAGUCAUCAAUUCUCAGAUGUUUUGUCAGUUUGAGGCCACAACACAUCCAGGGGCACACCCCAACGACAUCAUACGGCAGGCCCCACAUCCACUCAACCCUACCAAUUCUCCCCUUGUUGAGUGAGGUCCAACAUUCACUGAGCUUCAGCCACAGACACCUGAAGGCUGACUCUGCCUGUUUGGUGAUGUUAGCCAGUAGUUUAUUUUAGGUGGAAUAUCGGAUCAAAAGGAUGGAAAAGGCUCUCUCUGGAUAUCGUUAUUAAGACUUCAUGCCAUCCACCCCCUCUUUUCGUAUUCAAGGAUAAGUACUAGGUACAACUCAAGGUCUUUUGAUUCAACUCCCUUCAGGGACGGUUCUAGGGUCAGAGGUUCUGUUCAUACAUACUUUGUUGAAAUAUCAAAUUGAAAUACUCUACAUCUUUAAGAUAAGGUAUUUAUGCACUAUAUUUUUAAGCAUUGCUAAAAUUAAAAUUAAAAUCUUUUGGUUUGACUUCAGAUCCAGUCAAAAAAGAUCAGAAAUUGCGUGCUUUUAACUAUGUACUUGAAAACACAUUUAUUGUCCCUUUUGUGAUCCGUAGUAAGUAGCGUUAUGGAUUACAGAUGGUUUACUUAGAAGAUAGCAGGCUGUACACUGGCUAAAAUAGAUGCUUUUAAUUUUUUUGCCAGCGUAAGGCCUGCCAAAUCGGCCCAAUGAUGGUUUCACAUAGGACGGGGAAGGCUUCUUGUGCAAUUGGUCUUUUCAGCAUGGCAAAGUAAUUUAAUUCCAAUUAAACUGUUAUCUGACUCUAUGUUAUUAUGACUUCAAAUUUAGGUGCCAAUUGAUUAUUGACCAUUUAUAUGAUAAUUUAUCUAGACAUUUGAUUAUUUUAACUCUUUACUAUUGUUGUACUUGUUCAUUCGGUUCUCAGAGUUGCACAGGGUCCUCACAAUGGCUGUUAUGUGGGCCCAUGAUCACAAACUCAACCAGUCUGUUAAAUAACCAGAGAUUAUAGCUAAAGCAAUUUAAUCUUACUUAUUUCAUACAAGUUUUUCAUCUCAGAAUCUUGGUCUUUUUGCUGGAAAAAUUAACUGCUUGGCAGAUUCAAACAGAGCUUUUCUUGAUUGAAUCUUUGUUUGUAGUAUUGUGAGAGUAUCUACCAGAGGUGGGAGUAAGUCACACAUGUGCAAGUCACAAGUAAGUCUGAAGUCUUAAUCUUCAAGUCUCAAGCAAGUCCAAGUCAGUUUUUGUGAGAAUCAAGUCGAGUCAAGUCAAGUCAAGUCAAGUCAUUGCUUGGGUCAAUCAAGUCACUGUCAAGUCAUACAAAUUUUUGAUGAUUUAACUGAAUUUAUGUAUUAAAAUAACUUAAAACUACAGUAGUUAUGGGCUAUGGGAGUUUUAUUUGGAACAACAACAACAAAAAAUGCAAAAUGCAAUUCUACUUAAAAGGUGUCCACAUACAGAUGAGUUGUUAAUGCAAAAAAAUAUAUAUAUAAAUAUAAAAAAAUAACUAAAUUUUAAAACUACAUAGCCUAAAAUGUAAAUGUAACUGAAAUUAGUCCAACAUAAAAGCAUGAAAAGUAUUUAGGUAAUAAUGUACAUUAUUAAUCUGUGUGUGUGUGUGUGUGAGAGAGAGAGAGAGAGAGGGGUGAUUUGAGUGAGUGUGAUUUAUUAAUAUUUGUGAGUGAAUGUGUGUGCGCAUGUAUGAGUGAAAGUGUAUUGUUUGUUUGCAUGUGCAUGGAUGUGCUCACAAAUCUGAGGGUUUUUGUUUUGUUUGUUUGUUAAUGCAUGGUUGGGUUCGUAACUCUGUAUUAUUAUUUUUUUUUACACAUUCCCAUAAACUAGCCAUAGGCUUUUCACUCAAAGUCUUUACACUGAAGACCAAUUAUUAGACACUGUACACAUGCAAAUACUAAGUGCUAUUGCCAAAAAAGCUGCCAUUUCUUUAUAAACAGUGAAUAACCACUUACAAUUCAUUGCACUUCCAAAAAAAAUUAAAUUUGAUAGUGCUCACAAACUGUAUUUUAAUGCAGCCAAAUUCUCAUAAUACUGUUUUCACUGGUAUAUCUGUCUGUUUCUGUUGUAAGACAACACAAUGAAAAUGAAAUAGUGACUGAAACGCAGCCCAUUAAGACUACAUAGCCUAACCGGCUCUCAAAAAUUCUGAUUCAUAAUCACGAUGUCGUCUAACGAAACCAAAUACAUAUAAGAUAAAGACAAUGGCUGUGCUGUGAUUUUGGCGAUAUUUGCAUGUAAAACAGAGUUUGAAGCGACAGAAUAUCUUUUUUUAACAGCAACUCACUGAACAGAUCAGACACAGAGAGAGGUGUGUGCGUGCUGGGAAAACAAAACCUCGCACUCGUGCAGCAGUACCAGAGAGUCUCAAAAACACAUUUACACAUUCAUAAAUCGGGGAUUAAACAUGGAGUUAUGUUCUGUCUGCUUUAUAUGAAUAUAUAAACAAGCGCAUGUACAGGUUCUUCUCAAUAAAUUAGA
ensembl:lncRNA